UCCCUGGAGGCUCAGUGGUAAAGAAUCUGCCUACAAUGCAGGAGACCUGGGUUCGAUCCCUGGGUCAGGGAA
rnacentral:tRNA from 1 species